rnacentral:rRNA from 1 species
UCCGUAGGCGGUGCGGCAAGUCGGAAGUGAAAUCUCAGGGCUUAACCCUGAGGCUGCUUCCGAAACUGCCGUGCUCGAGUGCGAGAGAGGCGAGUGGAAUUGCAGGUGUAGCGGUGAAAUGCGUAGAUAUCUGCAGGAACAUCCGAGGCGAAAGCGGCUCGCUGGAUCGCAACUGACGCUAGAGGGACGAAAGCUAAGGGGAGCAAACAGGACUUAGAUACCCUGGUACGUACCUAGCCCUAAACGAUCAGGACUGGGCGUGGGCCUCGUACGGGGCUCGUGCCGCAGCUAACGCGUUAAGUCCUGCGCCUGGGGAGUACGGUCGCAAGGCUAGAA